UCUGCCGGGUGGUGUUGCGUUUAAGUUGUCCGGGACAUUGAACGAUGGGGUUACUGCAACUGAUUUGGUUUUAACCGUGACCCAAAUGUUGAGAAAGCAUGGUGUGGUUGGCAAGUUCGUUGAGUUUUAUGGUGAAGGCAUGAGCCAGUUAUCAUUAGCAAAUAGAGAAACAAUUGCAAAUAUGUCUCCUGAGUAUGGAGCUACCAUGGGUUUUUCCCGGUGGACCACGUCACUCUACAAUAUCUUAAAUUGACUGGAAGGAGUGAGGAGACAGUUGCGAUGAUCGAGGCAUAUUUUACGUGCUAACAAAAUGUUUAUCGACUACAAUGAGCCUGAACAAGAGAGCGCACUCAUCUUAUCCGGACUUAGAUCUUGCCAAUGUUGAGCCUGUAUUUCAGGACU